GCUCCGGUGGCCUAGUGGUUAGAACUUCCGCCUCGGAUGCGGGAGGUCGCGAGUUAGAUCUCCGGUCGAGUCA